CCUACGGGUGGCAGCAGUGAGGAAUAUUGGGCAAUGGACGAGAGUCUGAACCAGCCAAGUAGCGUGAAGGAUGACUGCCCUAUGGGUUGUAAACUUCUUUUAUAUGGGAAUAAAAUGUUCCACGUGUGGGAUUUUGUAUGUACCAUAUGAAUAAGGAUCGGCUAACUCCGUGCCAGCAGCCGCGGUAAUACGGAGGGUCCGAGCGUUAUCCGGAUUUAUUGGGUUUAAAGGGAGCGUAGGUGGAGUGUUAAGUCAGUUGUGAAAGUUUGCGGCUCAACCGUAAAAUUGCAGUUGAAACUGGCAGUCUUGAGUACAGUAGAGGUGGGCGGAAUUCGUGGUGUAGCGGUGAAAUGCUUAGAUAUCACGAAGAACUCCGAUUGCGAAGGCAGUUCACUGGACUGCAACUGACACUGAGGCUCGAAAGUGUGGGUAUCAAACAGGAUUAGAUACCCUUGUAGUC
rnacentral:rRNA from 1 species